UGUCAGCCGCCGCGGUAAGACGUAGGGGGCAGGCGUUGUCCGGAAUUACUGGGCGUAAAGGGCGUGUAGGCGGUACGAUACGUAGCGGUUUUAAGCCUCCGGCUCACCCGGAGGAGGGCGGCUAAACGGUCGCACUGGAGGGCAGGAGAGGUGCAUGGAAUUCCUAGUGGAGCGGUGAAAUGCGUAGAGAUUAGGAAGAACACCAGUGGCGAAGGCGAUGCACUGGCCUGACCCUGACGCUGAGGCGCGACAGCGUGGGGAGCAAACAGGAUUAGAAACCCUUGUAGUCC
rnacentral:rRNA from 1 species